rnacentral:lncRNA from 13 species
GGUUUCGGGUGGGUGUGAUUGUUUGCACUUUAGCAGAUACCAAAUAAAAGCCCCUCUAUACAAAUAUAACACAACAGAAAGACUUUGCACUCAAAGACGUUACAUAUGAAUAUGUUUGAGUCAUUGUUACAUAUCUUACCAUACAUGUCUAUUUGUUUGUCACACCACUUCACUUCAGCUUGACACUUACUGUAUGAUUACUGUACUCUGAUAGUCCAGAGGGAACUAUCUCAUUCCCGCAAAGGUUUUCUCCUCCUUUUCUCCUCUUUCAUCCCUUCCUGGUGUGUAUGAACAAGGCUGAGGGAUGUGACUUAACAGACACCAUACACCACAGAAGACUACGAACAGAUAUAACACUUAGAUGAGUACAUUUCAGAGAAGAAGAAAAAGGAAGAUAUUAACUUUACUUCAAGAUAAAAAUGGUCAUGCCAGAGAGAGAUACCAAAUAAAUGAUGUGUGUGAUGCAAAAAGAAAUUGAUAGAUAUAUUUAUUGAAUGUGUAAUGCAUGUGUCGGUAGACCUAUGCAGGACGUAGGCCCAGUAUGUGAGUUGUAAUCACUUUUCUUCUUUUCAAAUAUAGACUUUAAACUAAUGGGAGGAGUCAGAAGAAGAGGGAAAAUGCUGAAACCACAACAGGUUUCAUAAUGUGUCACAGACCCCAAAGUCCCCAGUGUAUAACUACCCACACGUUCAACAAAGAUGGCUGUCUUGUCAGGAAAGAGCAGAAGUGGAGGGAAGGGGAUGUGUGGCAUAGAAGAAAUGGGACUUCCUGUAAAGUACGUGUCCCCUUUAGGACAUAUGGUGUAUGGGUAGAGUGAUCAUCGCUCCUGGAUAUGGCCGGUCCCUUUGGACUGAAGAUCCUGCUGCUGUGGACUGGGCUCAUAGAGUUGGCAAUAUGUAAGUACAGUAUGAUACCCAGGGGAUGGGAGUGACGGGAGGGUUGUUAUUUAUUUUAAUGGGGAUGGGCUGCUAAAUUCACCUUUAACGUAUAUGGAAUUGUUUUGGAAAAGGUGUCCUGAUGCAGUCACCAUCAAGGCUUAAGAAAACACUUAAAGGGUGCAGGAUUGCAUAUAACCUAAUGUUGAUGAAUCACACUUAUUUGAGAUAAUUCGAAAUGCAGUAACUUUCUCGGGGUUAACUAAUGUGUCCUUUCCUUUAAAACGGAGUGUGAGUAGAGUAGCUCUGAGAUUGUCAAGUCCAUCUAAACUGUCUGCCUGUGGGUGAGCGUUACUUGGAGGACUAGCUUUUAAAGGAGACUUGUGACAGAGUUGGCCCGCUCAUGUUCAGAGAAUGGACAGACCUGGAUUUAGUGAUGUAAAGUAUUUAUUCGCCACUGUCUUUGUUUGGUUCUCUGAAAUAGUUUUCCGUCAAAGACUAUAAUAAUCUGAGGCUAAAACCUCUUGUUGC